GUCAAGGUAGGGAUGGUUUUGGAAUUUCAAAAAAAUGUUUAAGAAAGUAUAAGUGAUUUCUGAAAGAGAAUUACAGGAAUAAAAUUUAGGAAUGAGCUGUGGGCAAGAUUUCCAGGGCCUUUCAUAAUCUGAGUGUUUAGAAUUUGUUUGAGGUACAAUUGGCAGCUAUCAAUGAUGUUUAAGGGGAGUGAAAUUUUUGAAUUCAUGUUUUAAAUGUAUAUUUAGUUACUGAAUGAAUAUUGGAGUAUAGAAGAGUUAAAAAUAGAGAACAAAUGAAAAGAUAUUGCACCUGUUAACCAUGAGAAAAUGGAGCAAGGCUUUGUCAGUAAAGCUGACUUCACUGGUCUGAGAUCCAGUGAAGAGCGAUAGGCCACUAGACUUGAUAAUGAGUAGAUAAGGAGAGAAAAUUAACUUUAGGAAAUGUGAUCACUAAGUUGGCUUUUUCUCCACCUUAACAUGCUAUGGUUUGGGUAUGGAAUUGCCUUUAGCUAAGUGCAAAUUCUAUUUGUUUACAAACAUAAUUUGUGAGUUUGCUAAUCACCAGCUAAUCAGCUUUUUGAAUUUUAGCCAUUCAUUGUUUUUAGAUGCAAGCAAAAAAUAUGCCUGAUGAAGCAAACAAGAAACUAAUUGGAAAGACACAAGGCAGUUCACAAAUGAAGAGGUUUAGCUGGGCUAAAGCUGUUGACAGAAAAUUCUCCACUCGGAUGAGAAGCAAAGAUGAGAAGAGGUAUUGCAAUGGCGAUGGGAAAGCUUUAUAUAAUGAGACAAAUCCCAGAACCUCUGGGAACUCAUUCGGUAUGGAAACUAUUUCAUGUUUCUUUCAUUAUGUGAAUGAUAUACUGUCUAUUAAAAAUACCAAAGUGAGAUUGUCCAGACAGGUAUUUUAAUAGAGUGACUUGCUUUGAAUCGUCAUUUGGUUUUGCAGACAACAGCCUGCCACCCUAUUUUUCUAUAGCACCAUGCUUCAAACCCAUCCAAUCUAUCCUAGUGCAGUGGAGUUAGCACCUCUUCUUAUAUAAACUUGUCAAGGCAUUACAACAUAAACAACACAUUCUGUCCAGCUGCAAAACACUUAUUUGAGGAGUCCAUUUAGUUUCAUAAACUUUUUCUAAAUCUCUGACACCUUAAACAAACUAUGACAGGCAUUUAUAUUGUAUGCCAAACAAGAGGAAUAACUCACUAUAUAAAAUGCAUCUAGUGACUACCAACAACAGAAGACUAUGACAUAAAAUAAAACUCUAGUGGAAAAAAAAUCA
rnacentral:lncRNA from 1 species